CAUACGCGGCGAGCAGUGUGAAAUUUCAAAGUUUCGAGUACAUGACAUUGUUUACAAAUGUUCCGUCAACAUCUGCGUUCAAUAAAGCCAGACUGGAACUGAUAAAAUACUUUGGCUGGAAAAGAAUCGCCAUCUUGCGAGAAUAUGAUGACGAGUUAUACGCGGAGUCGGUUCGUGACCUGCGUCACCAAAUAGUUCGUGACAAUUUAAACAUUUCUCUGAUCACCAUCGAAGGAUUCAGCCGGUUCACGAAGGGUCAUCCCAGAAUGCAAUUGGAAAACUUAAAAAGCCUGGACGCCCGUAUCAUAAUUGGCGAGUUUUCGAUCAAUGGCGCUGUUGAUGUUUUUUGCGAGGCUUACAAAAUGGGAAUGACAAGUCCUAAGUAUGUGUGGUUUUUGCCAGCAACAGCCUCCGGCGCCUGGAUAUUCAGUCCUCUAACAUUUCCCAAAUACCACAAAGCUUCCAAGUGCAAUAUCAGCCAAAUCAUCGAAGCAGCAGAUGGAUUUAUCGUUUCCGACAAAAUACCCAUUCGAGCAGAUAAAAACGAAACACUGUCUGGUUUGACUCCCGAGUCAUUCAUGGCAGAGAUGCGCAAAAGAAACAGGAAUCCACGAAGUUACGUGAGUUACGCGUUUGACUGCGUAUGGGCAGCAGCCUUGCUAUUUCAAGCAAGCUUGUCAGCGCCUAAGGAAUACCGUCCGGAAAAUGCAAAGUUUGGAUCCAUUAAAAUAAGAAAUGCCUACAUUCGACAACUUUCUCUAAUUCAGUUCCAAGGCAUGACGGGGCGACACCACUUUGAUUACAGAAGACGAUUGGGGUCCGUUCGAAUAAACCAAAUGAGAAAUGUGAAUGGAACAGCGGAGCUUGUUCAAGUGGGAUCGUUCAGUUCCAUCAGCAGGGAGGAAUUUAAAAUGGAACUUUUUGAAAGCCAGGUUGAUAAAUUAUGGAAAGAUGGGAAGGUUCCGGUCGACGAGACGAGAACGAAAAAAAAAGUUUUAACCUACUCCAAAUUGCUGGUAGCGAUCAUCUGGGGUUUUGCUGCUUUGGGCUUGUUUUAUUCGAUUUUUUUCGUCUACUUCAACAUCAGCAAGAGAAAUCACAAAGUGGUUCGAAUGUCAUCUCCGAUGAUCAACAAUGUCGUUCUUCUUGGCUGCUUCUUUUUUUAUGUUUUCGUUUUCUUGUUGGGGAUUGAUUCGAGAUUUGUGGAUGACCAUGUCUUGGGAAUAUUAUGCAAUGUUCGUCUGUAUGUACUGGCUAUUGCAUUUUCCAUGUCUUUUGGCGCAUUAUUCAGUAAAACAUGGCGAGUACACAAGAUAUUCACUGCUCAACGAGCUAUCAAGAAGAAGAUGAUGCGCGAUUUUCACCUUCUUUUAUUUGUCUUGGUCUUGGUGAUAGUUGAUGUCAUUUUCAUAACCAUCUGGGUCUACUAUGAUCCCUUAGAAGCGAAGGAGAUCAUUUUUGAUAAAAUGAAGGAAGAUUCCAUCGAUGUGAUUACAAUUCCUGUUUUGAAAAUCUGUGAGUGCACUCAUAGAACAAAAUUGCUUGGCGCCAUGUACGGAUACAAAGGAAUUUUGCUAUUGUUUGGCGUGUUCCUCGCGUGGGGAACGCGCAAUGUAACGAUUCCUGCGCUAAACGACUCCAAGUACAUCGGAAUGUCAGUUUACAAUGUUGUCAUAUUAUCAGCCAUCGGUGCAACAGUCUCAAUGGUUUUAAAGAAGACUGCUUAUUAUGAAUUACUUCACGUACUGGUAUCUGCUGUGGUGAUACUUUCUACGACUGUUACCUUGACUAUGGUAUUUGCGCCAAAGGUUUAUGAGUAUUACUUUAUUCCGCCGGAGCCUGAAGGUUGCACUCGAACGAUGGAAUCUCUGCAAAUGAGCGCGAGAUCGACAACGACAUCAACAACUGGAGGAUCUGAUGUUUACGAAGCUUAUGUCAAACCAAAAGAUGUUAAAGAUAAAUGGAUACAAACGGAGGAUUUCGAUCCCGCUAAUAAUGGUCUGUCAAUUGCAUCGCCGAUGUUUAGUGGAGGAAACGGUGCUGCAGUGAUGGCGAACGGGAUCAAUAGAGAUAACAAUGGUGAAACGGUGACAUCUAUGGUUAGUAAUAGUAGUGAACCCGUGUUCGGUGAAGAAUAUAUGAAAGUUGAUGAAUGUACACUGAUAGAUUCUGGUGUGGGUGUGGGAUUGUGUGAUAACAGCCCAGACUCUUCAAUGACCAAUCAGAACGCGGAAUUUGAUCAUGAAAACAUGAACACAAAGGAACAAGACGGAUUCAGCGUUCAUUAGAGGGUUGGUACUGAAGAGAAAUGGAUUGGAACCAAUCUUGUCCCCAGAGCCGUUUUGGACUUUAUAGGGGGUGUUGGGUCUGGAGGCGAGAGGGAGAAGAGGAAAGACCUUGGGAUCGGCCGUUCAAAAUACCCACAUUUCCAUUGCGAUUAGGAGUUCAAGACGAUACGCGUAAGUGGAUAUAGGACACGAGAUAAG
rnacentral:misc_RNA from 1 species